GUCCACGCCCUAACGAUGUCAACUGGUUGUUGGACGGCUUGCUGUUCAGUAACGAAGCUAACGCGUGAAGUUGACCGCCUGGGAGUACGGCCGCAAGGUUGAACUCAAAGGAAUUGACGGGACCCGCACAAGCGGUGGAUGAUGUGGUUUAAUUCGAUGCAACGCGAAAACCUUACCUACACUUGACAUGUCAAGAAUCUUGCAGAGAUGUGAGAGUGCUCGAAAGAGAACUUGAACACAGGUGCUGCAUGGCCGUCGU
rnacentral:rRNA from 1 species